rnacentral:rRNA from 1 species
AGUGAACGCUGGCGGCAGGCCUAACACAUGCAAGUCGAACGGCAGCACAGUAAGAGCUUGCUCUUACGGGUGGCGAGUGGCGGACGGGUGAGGAAUACAUCGGAAUCUACUUUUUCGUGGGGGAUAACGUAGGGAAACUUACGCUAAUACCGCAUACGACCUACGGGUGAAAGCAGGGGAUCUUCGGACCUUGCGCGAUUGAAUGAGCCGAUGUCGGAUUAGCUAGUUGGCGGGGUAAAGGCCCACCAAGGCGACGAUCCGUAGCUGGUCUGAGAGGAUGGUCAGCCACACUGGAACUGAGACACGGUCCAGACUCCUACGGGAGGCAGCAGUGGGGAAUAUUGGACAAUGGGCGCAAGCCUGAUCCAGCCAUACCGCGUGGGUGAAGAAGGCCUUCGGGUUGUAAAGCCCUUUUGUUGGGAAAGAAAAGCAGCAGGUUAAUACGCCGCUGUUCUGACGGUACCCAAAGAAUAAGCACCGGCUAACUUCGUG